UUGAGGGGUCGUGUGAAUGGUGUAGACUAUUUGUCAGAUGAACGCCUCAUGCCAUACUUGGAGUUAGCCAGCUUCAGAUCAGCGACAUUGAUCUGGACCUUUGAUUUGCGAUACGAAUUAAUAUCCGCUUUAGUAGAGUGAUGGCGCCCGGAGAUCCACAUAUUUCAUUUGCCGUGUGGGGAGUACACUAUCACUCUGCAGGAUGUUGCACUACAACUUGGGCUCCCCAUCGACAGGAAUGCGGUCACGAGCGUAAGUUCGAUAUCUGUGUCAGCAGCCCUUUGCUAUAACUUACUUGGACGCUCGCCCAGUGAGGAGAAAUUUAUGGGUUUAAGGUUUUCAUGGCUAAAGGCUAAUUUCAGGCAUUUAUCGAGUACUGCCACUGAAUGGGAGGUGAUGUAUGUCGUUCGAGCUUUCAUUAUACACAUUAUAGGGGGUAUACCCAUGCCGGAUGCAAACAACAAUAAUAUCCAUUUGAUGUACUUGCCCCUAUUAUCUGAUUUGCGUAACAUCCGUUCGUACAGUUGGGGGUCUGCAGUGUUAGUUAUGUUGUAUCGCAAACUUUGUCGGAUGACAAAUCUUUCUGCCGUGGACAUAGGUGGAUGCCUUAUAUUGCUGCAGUCUUUGGCGCUUUAUCGGAUGCAAUUCUUAGUAUCGAUUAGUCACCAAUCAUAUGUAUUUCCACUAGUGAAUAGAUGGAGUACUAAUAGGGUAUCGGGAGGUCAUACACGGUUCCGAUAUACCGUCUGAUGAUCGAGAAUCAUGUUGGAGAGGGAUUCAUCUGGAUGCCCUAUUCUGUCCCAAAAAUUAUGUCGGUUAUUCCCUCAUCUGCCCAUGUCCACUCAGACUUAUAGUACAUUAACGCACCCAUUGUCAAUUUCUAGUCAGUGAAGUGGUAUCAUAGGGAUCAAGUACUCCGUCAGUUCGGUUGUGUAUAGUAUAUCCCGCCAGUACAAUUGGGGGACAUCUACAAGAUUAGCAAGAGGAGGAAACAUGGAAAUGAUUGGGCGGUAGUGCAUGAAUAAUAUAUUGCAGUGUAAAACAAUCGGCCUGGGCGGAUACCUCAGAUGGAUCGUGCUUUGGAUCUGCAACCUUCGUUGAAGUACAUAUAUUGAUACUUUGAGAUAGGGAAAUCUUAUUUAUUUGGUGGGCAGUCGAUGAUAGUCCCUCCACAUAUGACAUAACUUGCGUAACCCUCCCAUCCCUUUCCACAUCUGCUUCUUGCACCCGAGCCAGAGCCAGAGCCAGAUCCAGAGCCAGAGCUACACUUUGGGGAUAGUUCUUAUCAUCCAGACUUGGGGAGCGAUGACUAUUUUCCGGACUUGUCAGGCCACGAAUAUCAUUCAGAGUUUGAUAUCUUCAGCCCACUACCAUCGCAGUACUCCACUCCUCUUAGCUCAAGUUCAUCGAUGGCGUUUGAGGCAUAUGAUUUUUCUUCUAUGUUUCGCACACCCCCACGUGCGGGUGAAGAGAAUGUUGAUCACUGCAAUCACCCGCAACGUGAAUGUCGACCUUUACAAAAAUA